CUCUACGCCCAGGCCCAAUUUCAUUGAAGGUGAUUUAUUUUAUUUAAUUUUUUAAAUUUUGAUCCCAUUAUUAGGAGUAUUAGAAAUUCGCUAGGAAUAUCCUUCACACCUACCGCACCCUGGUGCGUAUUGCAGACAACAGUGGAAGCGAUUCUGACACGAAUCCUGAUGCCGCGCCUCAACAUUAUCAGCCAAUCUCAGCCAUCGAUGUUGAUGAUGAUGAGGACGGCUCCUCCGAUCAAGGCAACUCAGAUGAAGAAUACCAUAGCUAUUCUCGAGGUGAAGCAGAGAACGGAAUCUCGUCUCUUCAUAUAAACGGCGACAUGGAGCAGAAGAGCAGCAGCAGCGAUGAAGAGGAGGCGGAGGAGAGAGUGACUGAGGCGUCUGAUUCGGCGAUACUCAGGGCUUUUAGAGAGGAUGAGAAUCGAAGAAACGCGCCGUUGACGGCUGAGAAUGCGAUGCGAGUGAGGGAAGCAAUGAGAGGGAUAUCGUUCGGAGGAUCCGCUCCCGAUUGGGCGGGUCGAGUUCCUGAAGAUGAGUGGAUCAAUCAGCUUCGGAGA
rnacentral:misc_RNA from 1 species